rnacentral:lncRNA from 1 species
CGGGGGACACCGGAGGUGGAGGAAGGGGCCGCGUACCGCGUGGUGCGUGGAGCCGAGGAAAGCACGGACUUCCAGCACCCGGGAAGUGAGCACGGAAAAUCAGUUCACGGCUGCCGCGUUCCUUCCGGCGGACAGCCAAUGACCGCGAGGAAAGGAGUCAGGGAAAGUGGCGUGGUGUGGCCGUGGCGGGCGCGGGCGCGGGCGGCCUGGGGGUUGGGUUGGGCACCCCACCCCCCCCCGCCGCGGGCUGUCUGGCCUGUAGGGGUUAAUUAGGAGCCCAGCCGCAGGUUUGCUGCCCCCAGUAUGGACGCUUGGGUUCGCGGACCAGCAGGAAUUUAAGACGGGAAAUGGGGACGGCUAGGUUCACCAGGUUUGGGCCUAGCAACUGGCAGCCCCCACUGCUGGAGGCGGAGGCCGGUGUCCCCUCUCACUCUGUACCGUUUGGUUUACCCACAGGGCAACAAGUCUCACACAGCAAUUCUGUCGUCUUGCUUGCUAACCCUGGGCCCCCAGGGGCAGAAAGGAGUUCUAGGCUGCUGCUCAGCACCACUGGUAGGAUUUGCAGUCCUCAUCCAUGUAUGAAGACAGAGGAGCAGAGGAGGGACCACCAGACUGUCAUCUGAAAGUGUUCCCCAGCACAGCAAAGAUAGUCUGUUUGCAUUCACCCUAGAGUACCGUAGCAGCUAAAGACAGACACAACAUGUAUCUGGAAUAAAAGGUGUUUCACAGUGCCUUUCAACUUUAACACUGCGGUGAUAUUUUCUGGGGAGCAUUACGCCUACUUGGUAAAUGGAGCCGAACAGGAUUCAGUGGUUUCCCUUAAGGCCACCAGAUGGGACAGUUCUUAGACACAUUGGAC